AGCUCCAAUAGCGUAUAUUAAAGUUGUUGCGGUUAAAAAGCUCGUAGUCGGAUUUCUGCCGAGGACGACCGGUCCGCCCUCUGGGUGAGUAUCUGGCUCGGCCUGGGCAUCUUCUUGGAAAGCGUGGCUGCACUUGAUUGUGUGGCGCGGUAGCCAGGACUUUUACUUUGAGGAAAUUAGAGUGUUUCAAGCAGGCGCAUGCUUUGAAUACUUUAGCAUGGAAUAAUAAGAUAGGGCCUCUGUUCUAUUUCGUUGGUUUCUAGAGCAGAGGUAAUGAUUAAUAGGGAUAGUUGGGGGCACUCGUAUUUCUUGGAUUUGUUAAAGACGAACUACUGCGAAAGCAUUUGCCAGGGAUGUUUUCA
rnacentral:rRNA from 1 species